GCAGAAGAUUGCUGCUGCUGCUGCUGCUGCUGCUGCUGCUGCUGCUGCUUGUCUGACUGACCUGAGGCACCUGACGCUGCGCGUCUUAUUCUUUCAUUAGUUGGGCCAUGUUUCUUCUUCAGUUCAGCUUGCGCUCAAAGAAAGUGAAAUAGGUGUUGUCCAAAGCAUAGGGUAUGACAUGCCACCACUUGUUUCUGACACCUACUCGUUGCAUAUCAUUGCCUUGGUAUGUGGUGUUCAAUGACUCUUUAAAUUUGCUCUUGAAAAUUUAUCUGCAAGAUAAACCAGAUCAUUCAUUUACUCCAUGCAAUACAUGGGGCAGAGACAACGAGCUGCACGUGGUAGGCAGCAAUGGCAGAAUAAUGCCAGCACAGAGGCUAUACAAAGCUUGCGCAUACAGAGCUUCACUGUAGUAGUAUUGAAAUGUUGCAUGGCACUUGCUGACUUACUAUUAAGCAAUACCAGCAUUAGGGGACACGAGACGAAGGCAACACAGCGUGGCUCAUGUCCUGUGGCUUGUGUCUCUUGUCCGAUCCUGUAGUGCUGGUGUCACAUAAUGAAAAAACAAGCUCAUUGCACUGUGUUAGCAAAGGUAACACCUCCUGGUCUUUUUAAACUGCCAAAACCAAGUGACAACUUGAGCAAGGGUACCCAAGUUAAUUUUUGCCUUCUUUUGAUGCUACAUGCAAUUAGCUUCCUUUAUUUCAAGGAAGCUCUUGCUUUGAGGAUGCAGUUUGGACACCGCCUAUUGGCCUUAGUUCAUUUCAAUAAGGUAUGCAGCGCUGUAGUUCAGAGUGUCGAGACUGAGUUGCUUGUUUAUUUUACAGCAUGAUAUCUGCUGCAGCUUCUACUGCAUAGAUGCUUAUUUGGAUAUUGAAUUUGUAUUUAAUUAGCUACUCAUGCACUUAUAUUUAGGUACAUGAUGCUGUAGAUUCUUUUUGAUAGUUGCCCCUUGCUUUCGUGCUGAAAGUAAAAUUGGUUUCAGUGCUGUAUUGCCAAGUGUUAAGACGGAGUUGUUUGUUUCUUUGUAACAUGAUACUUGCAGAAGCUGCAACUGUGUAGAUUUGUGUAAGAGGCAAGAGUAAUUUACGUAGCAGUCAUUUCUUUAUUUACUAGCUUGUGCUCUUACUUAAUUUGCUGAGCUGCCGUUAGUUUAUCACUGUGUACGCUUUUAGAUUCUGGGCACUCUGCAUCUAUAGUUAAGCAUGACACCCCUUAUAAGAACUGCGAAAUCUCUUGCCAAAAAUGAAAAAUGUAAUAUCAGGACAUGCGUGCAGGUCUUCAAGUUGGUCUUGCAUGGUUGGGGGUGAAUGCUAGCAUAAAAUUCUGGGCAAAUCCAGAAACAAAUCAACAUUCAAACUCGGAGCACGAGAUUGAGAAUGUAGAGAGCAGCAAUCAAGACACACAUAUCUUUUGUUCAGCUUUGUUCACGAAGGAUAUAUCCAGUUUGUGGUGUACGGUAAACUAAAGUCAUGGUAGAUGCUACUUAAUAGACCAGUGUUUUAGCCGCUAACUGUUAAAAGGAGAUGGCAUUCAAUAACGUAAGCACUGCUUAUUGUGUUGCAAGGGAUCUGGUUUUCUUGUACAUUAUAAGUGAACCUCUUCUACUAGUCUAUGUCAACAAAACAUGUUAACUUGCUCAAGGUCAACUAACGAAGCAACCAUUCCCGUCCAUGGAGAAAGUGCGUUCUUCUGUGUCGGCAAACGAAAUUUGCCAUGAUCGUAAAGUUACAUUUGAUAACACUCUUUACACCCCACAGCUGUGAUUCAGUGGAAUUGGUAUUGUGCUUCUGAGGGCAAGGUUGGUUUGAUUUUCGACCACAGUGGCUGCAUUCUGAUGAAGGCAAAAUAUGAAAAUGCUUGCGUGCCAAGCUUUGGGUGCACCUCAGGCGGUGGCCACAUCGUUCCAGAAACAUUGACUGUUGGGCCAGUUAGUGCAUUAUGUCGUGUCAUUGAGUGGAAUAAUGACAGGAGGAAAUGAUACAGACAGGACCCUCCACUAUGAUGUCUGUUGCUCAUAGCCCUCUGUGUUACGUUUGGAUCUUAAACAUAAUCAGUCAAUCGUUACAGACAGAUUUAGUAUAUCACUUGCCAUUAGUAUUGCUACCUUGGCCUUUGUGCUUACUACUAGCUAAUCUGUGCUGCGUAUGCUUUUGCAUCUGGCAGCAGUAACACGGAGUGAGGAUUAGCCAGCAUGUGUGAAACUGUCAGGCUGAGGCUGUAGCAGUGCACUACAACUACCUGGUGUGCAGCAUCGAUUGAUUUCUGGCCAGAGAUGCAAAGCAUUUCUGACAUAAAGGUAUCUUGUUCACAAUGCUAAAGCAAGCACAGCAGAAAAUUGCAAAAGCUAUUGUGUAACACAAAUGAAGUGGAGAGGCUUUAGGAACAUCAGAAGUCAAGAGCAGUAAACCGUAAAUGUGGACGCAGUAGUGCCUUCUUAAGUUUGUCAAUAAAGAAUUGCUAGGGUCGGUUUUUUCCCACCAGGCACGUCAGCUGUUUAUUGAGCAGCUGAUUCGGUCACUUGUCAGCACGUGUAUGAAAAUAUAUAUAUGGGUGUUUGCAGUGUGUUUGUAGUCAACUAUUGCACCAACAUGAAUGUUACCUUCUAUGUCUACGUUGUGGCAUGCACAUUGCACAGAAGUGUUUUUUGAAUGUGUGUUGUCGAGUUUAACAUACCCUGAUACAUCCUUUUAUUCUUUUUGCUGUUCUUGGAGUUGGGCUCUGGAAAUCGUGCUAAGUAAAGGGACUGCGAAACAGAGAGGUGUUCUUCUUUCUUUGUUUUUGCGUGAAACCUGUUUUCACGCCGGAAAUAUAGUAUUUAUCUUAAAUCGUCACCAAGUCAUUUAUGUUGGGAACAUCUCACAGGCCAUAGCAAUAAAGCAUUUUGCCAAAAAAACAUUGCAAUAAACUUUGUACUUUGGCAACUUACCUUGUUUAAGACAAAUUUAAUUCCUCUCAGGAAAAAGCAGUCACAUGUACCAAUAAGGGCUACCCAUGAAGGUUAAGAAAUAUAUAAUAUAUAUAAUAUACAUGCUGCAUAAGUAAAGUUUUGUUGGUGAGAAGAAAACAGUUGUACCUUCAUAUAAUGAGGGUGGAUAUAAAGUAUUCUUGGAGGUAACAAAGCAAACUAAAAUUUUUUUCACCAGUAUCGGCAUGUAAUGAACUUAUGCUUCUCAAAAUAUUGAAUAUAGCCAAAAUAUUCUUGUCGGAUGCGGCUUCAUUAUAUAAUGAGCUUUUACUACCUAGCCUUAUGUUCUGAGCAAGGAUGAAUCCAAACUAAUGUGAAAUGUGCGUCUGCUAAGGCUCUUUUAGGGCUUUCGAACUGUUCAGUGUGAGACGGUAAGACCCAGAAAUUGCCGUGAAAGGUCACAAAGGUUUAUGCAUGUGUGUUAUCUGUGCAGUGUACUGCAGUGCUUACUCACAGAACGUGAAAUUGCUGUUAGGGACAAAAGCUGAAUAGCUUCCUGUGCUUGCUUCCACAUAAAUUAGGAUUUUAGUUGAUCUAGGAGCACGAGGACAUCUUAUCACAGAUGUGGACCUAACACAAUGCUGUGUGAUGUUACUUUGUAUGUUUUUGAUGUACUAUAGAAAUCCAGUGUUUGGUUAACAUAGCUUAAAGUGUUACUGUAUGAAUGAAAGGACGAUGCCUAUUUGUUCUUUCAAUUUAUUGUUGAACACUGCAUAGUUUACAGUGCUACUGUCUGAAAACAAGGACAGGGCACUGUCCUUGCACUACAGUUUGCUUUUCUAUACAUUCAUCCUAAAAAGCUAGAAGACGUGCACAACUCGUGAUCCUUCCUAUUGGCUAUGAAGCACAAGUUUCAGCACAAUCAGACAGGGAAAACAGACUAGGAAUUGGGAUCUUGUACUUAUUUUUGAAAACUAGAACUCGUAACUGGGUUGAUUGGUACACAGUUAAACCUCAAUACAUCAGUGUUGGUAAAAUCAGAACUUUACUUCUUUAUAUUGAAAUUUUGUUAUAUUGAAAGGCCCCCCUCCCCUUAGCAUGUGCUUUAUCAUGUUACCACACAUUCACUCCCUUCCCCCUUGCGGUCAUCAAGCCACGAACCGUCUCUGCUCACCUUCUCACGCUUUCCCUCGCACCCAUAGUGUACGACACAAAGGGUGUGAUGGGAUCUUAUUGCCCUUGGACUUUAUACAAAACAUGACGGUGAGAGGGUCUUGUGUUUAGCACUAAAACUGCUACUCAUGUUUGUCAUUUAUGUCCACACUGUUAGAUAUGGGACCUUUUCCUGAGCCUCCUUCGAGUUCACCAGGCCACAUCGAAUCGUGCCACAGCUAAUUAAGGAGCGCAGAAGCACAUCUACCCCGUUCCCGAGGCGCGGCACGUGCAAACGAGUUGGAGUCCCCCACCUCGUGCGCCGCAGGUGGAGCUAUUCACUGCUUGACUCUUCCCAAAAGUGUAGCAGGAGUCUGGCACGGUUCCAGAGACAAGUAAGCCCUCGGACAAUUGGGGCCCAAGGAGCGACCCUCGGCGCCGGGUGGGACACAAUCGCACGGGCGCCUACCAUUGGCCGAAAAUGACGACACCUGAGCAGGCUCGCCGAUUGGCCGAAAAUGGCGUCACCUGAGCGGGCUCGCCGAUUGGCCGAACGUGACGUGACUUCGAGACACCGAAGGGCUUAAAAGCCCGAGACCGGGAGCAGCAAGGGAGCAUUCCUUCAUUCAUCUCUUUCAAGCUUCUUGCCACGGGCUGCAGCGUCCGAGUUGCUGCCAACCCGUAAUGACUUUAUGACUGUUAAUUUCUUUGUACUCUCACUGUAAAUAAUGUAAAUAAACCUCCAGUUUUCAUCUCAA